GAUGAACGCUGGCGGCGUGCUUAACACAUGCAAGUCGAACGGAAAGGCCCAAGCUUGCUUGGGUACUCGAGUGGCGAACGGGUGAGUAACACGUGGGUGAUCUGCCCUGCACUUCGGGAUAAGCCUGGGAAACUGGGUCUAAUACCGGAUAGGACCACAUUUUGGAUGGUGUGGUGGAAAGUUUUUCGGUGUGGGAUGAGCUCGCGGCCUAUCAGCUUGUUGGUGGGGUAAUGGCCUACCAAGGCGUCGACGGGUAGCCGGCCUGGGAGGGUGUACGGCCACAUUGGGACUGAGGUACGGCCCAGACUCCUACGGGAAGCAGGAGUGGGGAAUAUUGGACAAUGGGGGCAAGCCUGAUGCAGCGACCGCGCGUGGGGGAUGACGGGCUUCGGGUUGUAAACUCCUUUCGGUAGGGAAGAAGCGGUAUGUGACGGUAACUGGAGAAGAAGCACCGGCUAACUACGUG
rnacentral:rRNA from 1 species